rnacentral:rRNA from 1 species
UCAGGAAUUUUGGGCAAUGGGCGAGAGCCUGACCCAGCAACGCCGCGUGAGGGAUGAAGGCCUUCGGGUCGUAAACCUCUGUCGAUUGGGAAGAAAGGUCGCUAGUCGAACAGGCUAGAGGCUUGACGGUACCUUUAAAGGAAGGACCGGCUAACUCCGUGCCAGCAGCCGCGGUAAUACGGAGGGUCCGAGCGUUGUUCGGAAUUACUGGGCGUAAAGCGCGUGUAGGCGGCUUCGUCAGUCGGAUGUGAAAUCCCAGGGCCCAACCCUGGAACUGCAUCCGAUACUGCGGAGCUCGAGUCCUGGAGAGGAUGGCGGAAUUCCGGGUGUAGAGGUGAAAUUCGUAGAUAUCCGGAGGAACACCAGUGGCGAAGGCGGCCAUCUGGACAGUGACUGACGCUGAGACGCGAAAGCGUGGGGAGCAAACAGGAUUAGAUACCCCCGUAGUCC